rnacentral:rRNA from 1 species
UACAAGCACCCCGAGUGGUCGGGACGUUUAUUGGGCCUAAAGCAUCCGUAGCCGGUUCUACAAGUCUUCCGUUAAAUCCACCUGCUCAACAGAUGGGCUGCGGAAGAUACUAUGGAGCUAGGAGGCGGGAGAGGCAAGCGGUACUCGAUGGGUAGGGGUAAAAUCCGUUGAUCCAUUGAAGACCACCAGUGGCGAAGGCGGCUUGCCAGAACGCGCUCGACGGUGAGGGAUGAAAGCUGGGGGAGCAAACCGG